rnacentral:lncRNA from 1 species
GUCGGCGUAGCUUAGGGGUAUAGAAAAUAAAAGGAAUAAAAUGUAUUAAACUUGUAAUAACUUAGAUUGUAUUUGGAAGUUGAAUGUAAUAUAUAAAGUGUGAUGUAAGUAAAUGAAUCUAAUGUGAAUGUUGUAAUAUCUUAGGAUGUGUUUAUGUUGAUUGAUACCUUCCUGAUGCAAUUCUGUUUGCUGAGUACUGUUCCUGGUUGGAACCUUUGUAAUGUACAUUGUUUGGAUUGCGACGCCUAGAACGUACAGGGGAGACUCUG